GUGCUCCCCCGCCAAUUCCUUUAAGUUUCAGCCUUGCGGCCGUACUUCCCAAGCGGCCCGCUUCGCGGCUUCCCUACGGCACCACGACGAUUCACGACCGUCGUGACACCUAGCGGGCAUCGUUUACGGCUAGGACUACCCGGGUAUCUAAUCCGGUUCGUGCCCCUAGCUUUCGUCCCUCACCGUCGGACCUGUUCUGGUAGGACGCCUUCGCCACCGGUGGUCCCGGAGGAUUACAGGAUUUCACCCCUACCCCCCGAGUACCUCCUACCUCUCCCAGUCCCAAGCAAUGUAGUAUCCCAUGAAAGCCCAACGGUUAAGCCGCUGGAUUUCCCAGGGGACUUGCAAAGCCGGCUACGGACCCUUUAGACUCAAUAAUAUCGGCCACCACUCGAGCCGCCGGUAUUACCGCGGCGGCUGGCACCGGUCUUACCCGGCCCUUGCUAACAACCGUUUUUUAGACGGUUGGACAGGCACCCAAGGUGGAUGCCACUCGAUGUCCCCCUAUCGCAGUUGCCUGCAUUGUAGAGUUUUCGCGCCUGCUGCGCCCCGUAGGGCCUGGAUUCGUGUCUCAGAAUCCAUCUCCGGGCUCUUGCUCCCACAACCCGUACGGAUUACAGGCACGCCGGUACGUUACACCGGCGUCAACCUAAUCCGCCGCAGACCCAUCCAAAGGCGUUGCCUUUCGACCACCAAGCAUUCCAGCACUAGUGAUCCAUCCGGUAUUAUCCCCAGUUUCCCGGGGUUAUCCCAGACCCUUGGGCAGGUUAUCCACGUGUUACUGAGCCGU
rnacentral:rRNA from 1 species